AUGUUCAUUUUGGCAGCACUUGUACUAAAAGUGGAACAAGACAGAAGAUUAGCAUGGCCCCUGCCCAAAGAUGAUACGUAAAUUCAUGAAGCGUUGCAUAUUUUA
ensembl:snRNA U6 U6 spliceosomal RNA